rnacentral:rRNA from 1 species
UGCAAGUCGAACGAGUUCUCGUUGAUGAUCGGUGCUUGCACCGAGAUUCAACAUGGAACGAGUGGCGGACGGGUGAGUAACACGUGGGUAACCUGCCCUUAAGUGGGGGAUAACAUUUGGAAACAGAUGCUAAUACCGCAUAGAUCCAAGAACCGCAUGGUUCUUGGCUGAAAGAUGGCGUAAGCUAUCGCUUUUGGAUGGACCCGCGGCGUAUUAGCUAGUUGGUGAGGUAAUGGCUCACCAAGGCGAUGAUACGUAGCCGAACUGAGAGGUUGAUCGGCCACAUUGGGACUGAGACACGGCCCAAACUCCUACGGGAGGCAGCAGUAGGGAAUCUUCCACAAUGGACGCAAGUCUGAUGGAGCAACGCCGCGUGAGUGAAGAAGGCUUUCGGGUCGUAAAACUCUGUUGUUGGAGAAGAAUGGUCGGCAGAGUAACUGUUGUCGGCGUGACGGUAUCCAACCAGAAAGCCACGGCUAACUACGUGCCAGCAGCCGCGGUAAUACGUAGGUGGCAAGCGUUAUCCGGAUUUAUUGGGCGUAAAGCGAGCGCAGGCGGUUUUUUAAGUCUGAUGUGAAAGCCCUCGGCUUAACCGAGGAAGCGCAUCGGAAACUGGGAAACUUGAGUGCAGAAGAGGACAGUGGAACUCCAUGUGUAGCGGUGAAAUGCGUAGAUAUAUGGAAGAACACCAGUGGCGAAAGCGGCUGUCUGGUCUGUAACUGACGCUGAGGCUCGAAAGCAUGGGUAGCGAACAGGAUUAGAUACCCUGGUAGUCCAUGCCGUAAACGAUGAAUGCUAGGUGUUGGAGGGUUUCCGCUCUUCAGUGCCGCAGCUAACGCAUUAAGCAUUCCGCCUGGGGAGUACGACCGCAAGGUUGAAACUCAAAGGAAUUGACGGGGGCCCGCACAAGCGGUGGAGCAUGUGGUUUAAUUCGAAGCAACGCGAAGAACCUUACCAGGUCUUGACAUCUUUUGAUCACCUGAGAGAUCAGGUUUCCCCUUCGGGGGCAAAAUGACAGGUGGUGCAUGGUUGUCGUCAGCUCGUGUCGUGAGAUGUUGGGUUAAGUCCCGCAACGAGCGCAACCCUUAUGACUAGUUGCCAGCAUUUAGUUGGGCACUCUAGUAAGACUGCCGGUGACAAACCGGAGGAAGGUGGGGAUGACGUCAAAUCAUCAUGCCCCUUAUGACCUGGGCUACACACGUGCUACAAUGGAUGGUACAACGAGUUGCGAGACCGCGAGGUCAAGCUAAUCUCUUAAAGCCAUUCUCAGUUCGGACUGUAGGCUGCAACUCGCCUACACGAAGUCGGAAUCGCUAGUAAUCGCGGAUCAGCACGCCGCGGUGAAUACGUUCCCGGGCCUUGUACACACCGCCCGUCACACCAUGAGAGUUUGUAACACCCGAAGCCGGUGGCGUAACCCUUUUAGGGAGCGAGCCGUC